GCUGGGCGUGGUGGCACAAGCCUGUAAUCCCAGUGGCUUGGGAGGCUGAGGCAGGGGGAUAAUGAGUCCAAAGCCAUCCUCAGUCAAAAGUGAGGUGCUAAGCAACUGAGUGAGACCCUGUCUCUA
rnacentral:sRNA from 1 species